rnacentral:rRNA from 1 species
UACGUAGGUGGCAAGCGUUGUCCGGAAUUAUUGGGCGUAAAGCGCGCGCAGGCGGUCCUUUAAGUCUGAUGUGAAAGCCCACGGCUCAACCGUGGAGGGUCAUUGGAAACUGGGGGACUUGAGUACAGAAGAGGAAAGCGGAAUUCCACGUGUAGCGGUGAAAUGCGUAGAGAUGUGGAGGAACACCAGUGGCGAAGGCGGCUUUCUGGUCUGUAACUGACGCUGAGGCGCGAAAGCGUGGGGAGCGAACAGG